rnacentral:rRNA from 1 species
UACAGAGGGUGCGAGCGUUGUCCGGAAUCACUGGGCGUAAAGGGCGCGUAGGCGGCUCGGUAAGCGUGCGGUGAAAGUCCGGGGCUCAACCCCGGAUCUGCCGUGCCGACUGUCAAACUCGAGGGCUGUAGAGGCAGACGGAAUUCCGGGUGUAGCGGUGGAAUGCGUAGAGAUCAGGAGGAACACCGGUGGCGAAGGCGGGUCUCUGGGCAGUAACUGACGCUGAGGAGCGAAAGCGUGGGGAGCGAACAGG